GUAAGUAUAACAAAACUCAUAUUGCAGGCAAAAACCUGUGAAAAAUAGAUCCAAAAAAAAAUGUGAAUUUUGUGACUGUACUAUUUAGUGUCAUUGUUUUAUAGAUACCAUAGUGAGAAAGGAUUCAUUUCGCAACACCUACGGCUUCCACUAGAUGUCAACGAUCUUUAUAAAGUUGUUUGAAGCGUCUAUGAUAAACAGAGAGCAAAUUAGAAUCCAAGGAAGUUGACAUGUCAUCACUUCAUUUUUUUGCGCCUGCGCAUAAAUCUGAGAAACGUGAGUUUGUCAUCAUUUUUUAUCUAGACAUAGGAUAGGUUGUGUGAAAAUAUUACUGAUGUUUAACGUUAAAAAUGGACCAAAAGAUUAAUGCUAAACAACAUUUGACAUGUUUGAACGAACAUAAAUAGAUUAUUUACUAGUUUUUUUUAGCUUUUCGGCGUGAUUUUACACUCCCCCCACCACGUUUUGUGGGAGCAUAAUGAACGCUAAGUACUUGGUGUUAUUUGGACAUAAAUUAUGAACUUUGUCAAAAGAAACCACAUUUGUUCCGGACCUGGGAUGCCUUCCGGACCUGGGAUGCCUGCCUUCUGAUGGAGAUAAUCAAAGACAAAGUGUACAGUUGGGUGCCAGAGUGAUCCCCUGGUCAUGAAUGAUGCUGGGACCUAACAGAAGCAGCAACGCUUGUCAGGCAAGACCUCAGAAUGAAAGUGUGAAAUGUGACAAGUACCCUUGUGACACCCCCUCCGUUGUUGCCAGAGUCUCCCUCAACUCCUAUAAAAAGGACACAUCAUCAUGAGGCCUCUGAUAGUGACCCGAGUUACUGCCUUGAUGAAAGACUGCUUCAUCGACGACAGGCUCUCCCAGUCAACACCAUCUCAUAAGAUUGCCUGCUGCAGUUGUUCAAGAGAUGUCCAGUCUGAGCCGAAUAUGCAGCACAGAGAAGACCAACAAGGAGGCUCUCAUCAACGUCCAGGGCAUAACCUAGUCUGUAUCUUUGAACAGGGGCCAGGAGCUGAUCUAUGCUGCUAUAGCCAUCACUGGGGCUCUGUCAAAGACCUCACCUCCUGCCUCAACUCUUGCCUGCUCACCAACGUUUGUCAAAGUCCAGACUGACAGACGGGCUUGAUACUGGAGAUGUCUCUAAAUGGAGAUAGACCUGGCAGAAGGCAUCACAUUUUUACUAGACAACUUUUACUUUGUCCUUUUUUAUUAUUGAAUGGUAUCAGUUAAUAUGGGGAGGGAGAAACCCUGUGUAUUCUGCACCAGGAUCAGGGAACUCCUGUUGUAUACGGGACACCACAUGACCACUGGCGUGUUUGCCAAGAUAGCCCCAUUACCACCAGACAAAAUGCCGAUAGGCACAGUAUCUGUAUCAGCUGGGAAUGCACUUACAAUUAAGGCCACCAGUGGAUUGCACAUGGAGAAAUAGUUCUCCACCGUCUGAAUUCCUGGGUGGAAGGAGAAUAGACACUUGGCAUGAAAGCCAGUGGCCUUUGUUCAAGACCUGUCAUAGUACGACAGAUAGCAGAGCAGAACACAGGGUAACGGUCUAUAGAAGAGCCUGAGUGUCGAGGGAGAGGCGUAUUCAUUUCCCUAAUCACUGCAUCCAAUUAAUAAUGUAUAAAGAAAUUAUACCAUUAACAGUCAUAAGUCAAGGUGGUAUGAUAUUAUUCUUGGGGCAUAGAAAUUGAAUAUAACCAUAAUGAGUGUAGAGCAUUUAUGAGCACCCAAGAGUGGGCGCCGUUCUAAAACAAAUCCAGAGUAAGCGCAAGGAUUGAUCCAUUCAGCACAGUCAAUCGAAUCAGAGUGCCAUGACUGUACAUAACGUUAACAUAAAGUAGAAUAAAAGUAUAGGGCGAGGCGUAACAUCUCAAAGAGUUACUCACCCACAGUCCCGUCGCCCCCGGGCCAGCUUCCCACUCCAGUAGUCGGUGGUGAUGCGUUAGAGCGAGGCCAGGUAGCGGACUUCACACAGCGUGCCUCCCCAGGACGCCACCUUCCUCUUGCUGUGCUUCCGCCACUGUAGGUAGAUGGCCCUGAGCUGCCUGUCGAAGGACGACGGCUGGCGGAACAGCCAGUAGGUAAAGAGCCACUGGAAUCGACACUGGGGGUAAUGACUGAACAUGGUCUCCAGCUCACGGUGGUCUGGUAGAGGAGGGGGGGGGGGGAAGAGGCCUGCUUCAGGGUAGAAACCUUUAGCACAAGUGGAUGCACUGCAUGUCAUGGAUGAAAUUGCGUUUAUGCUCCAAUACAUGGAUAACGCCACAACAGUCCCCAUCUAAAUCUAGCGGCGACCAAAAACUACAGGGAAAACAGGACUCGUUUUUAAAUGAACACAGAUCGAUUCCUGUCUGCCACUUGCAGAAAUGUAGAGUUUGUCAAAUGUAUUUUAGGAUCAUGAAAUUAAACAUACAGUAAGGGAAGCCUUUAGGUCAUUAGCUUCCAUUAGCAUUGCCCUGCCUAUAGGCCAAUGCAGUUGAUUUCAGAUGGUGUAUGAAGGGCUCUAGUAAGGAGGGUACAGUAUAACAUAAUAACCCGGAGGAAGACAGCUCGGAGACUGAAACCAUUUGUGACUAGUUUCCGCUCCCCAUAUCACCAGCCGAUAAAAACACUUUGAAGCGACUCAGCAGUGCAAAAAAUUGGAUAACCUUUUUUUCCUCGAUGGCUUCAAUCAUAGACAGACUGCCUGUAAUAAACCAAAAUCCUGCAAGGGGAUACAGCUCAAAAGGUUCUCCAGGGUAAAAUGCCAAUGUCGAGCUUCCCAGUACAGCAUUCUAAAGAUUGGGUAUGAUGAGUUAGAUGAGGGCUCUGCUUUGAGGAUUAAAUCAACUCAUUGCUUACUGGUGUGGUGUCAAACUACUGAAAAAAAUAACUAAACUUAUUUUCUUUAUCCAUUGGGAACAGCCAUAUUUCUGGCCAGGAUUCACACAUAACUUGGCCAUAGCCACAGCACAACAGUCAACAUCUGCACUGCCAAAAAGUCCAUCUGUAUAAGAAAUCUGGCACGCAGCUCAUAGCAGGCAAUAAAGGACAUUACCACCUUUGAAUCCCAUUGCGUUCACAGUGAAGAAUCUAAUUAUAAUUCAUAACUGGCUGUGGAAAGCAGACUAGUCCUAAAAUUGAUCCCCGUAAAAGUAAAAAAAAUGGUAUGCCCCAUAUGGCCUUGCCGAAUAAAUCAGACUGAUACCAAUUCACAGUCUUGUGCACGUGCCUUAGGUCACAAGCAAACAAAUGUUGAUUGGCACCCACAGAGACCUGUGUUUUGAAGUCUGUUUAACAAUAUUUUCCUGUGGAUAUUUUGUCUCAAAUUGACACACAAGGACCAACCCAUGGACAAUCAGCAGAGUAUGUUCAAAUCAUUUUAGUCAACAUUUGUGUCAGACAAGGGACGUUUAGGCUUUUUCUAUGUAAAUAUGUGUGGUUAUGCCUGCACAAUGGAAGGCAUCGCCACAGUCGGGAUCACAUAUGACCUACCAUAGUUCUGUAGUUGGUUGAGUACAUCCUGGAAAACAUUGGCAAUGCUUCCGUGAUGCUCAAGAGCAGUGGUGUAAAGUACUUAAGUAAAAAUACUUUAAGUAGUUUUUUGGGUAUCUGUACUUUACUUUAAUAUUUAUAUGUUUGACUACUUUUACUUUUACUUCCCUACAUUCCUUAAGAAAAUAUUGUACUUUUUACUCCAUACAUUUUCCUUGACACCCAAAAGUACUCGUUACAUUUUGAAUGCUUAGCAGGACAGGAAAAUAGUCCAAUUCACACACUUAUCAACAGAACAUCCCUGGUCAUCCCUACUGCCUCUGAUCUGGUGGACUCACUAAACACACAUGCUUCGUUUGUAAAUGAUGUCUGUGUUGGAGUGGUUCCCUGGCUAUCCGUAA
rnacentral:lncRNA from 1 species